rnacentral:rRNA from 1 species
CCUACGGGCGGCAGCAGUGGGGAAUAUUGCACAAUGAGGGGAACCCUGAUGCAGCGACGCCGCUUGGGCUCUUUCUCUUUUCUUCUCUUCCCUCCCUCUCUUCCUUUCCUCCUCUUCCCGUACCUGCCCAAUAAGCCCCGGCUAACUACGUGCCAGCAGCCGCGGUAAUACGUCGGGUGCAAGCGUUAGCCGGAUUUACUGGGGGUAAAGUGGGCGCAGACGGCAAUGCAAGUCAGGAGUGAAAGCCCGGGGCCCAACCCCGGGACUGCUCUUGGAACUGCAUGGCUGGAGUAAAGGAGGGGCAGGCGGAAUUCAUAGUGUAGCGGUGAAAUGCGUAGAUAUUAGGAGGAACACCGGUGGCGAAGGCGGCCUACUGGACUGUGACUGACGUUGAGGCCCGAAGGCGUGGGGAGCAAACAGGAGUAGAGAAAAGGGUAGUC